UACGUAGGGACCGAGCGUUGUCCGGAAUCAUUGGGCGUAAAGAGCGUGUAGGCGGCCACUUAAGUCCUGCGUGAAAUCUUGCGGCUCAACCGCAAGCGGUCGUGGGAAACUGGGUGGCUAGGAGUGCGGGAGAGGAGAGUGGAAUUCCUGGUGUAGCGGUGGAAUGCGCAGAUAUCAGGAGGAACACCAGUGGCGAAGGCGGUCUGCUGGGCCGUUGCUGACGCUGAGGCGCGACAGCGUGGGGAGCAAACAGG
rnacentral:rRNA from 1 species